CCUACGGGCGGCUGCAGUGGGGAAUAUUGGACAAUGGGCGAAAGCCUGAUCCAGCCAUGCCGCGUGUGUGAAGAAGGCCUUCGGGUUGUAAAGCACUUUCAGUGGGGAAGAAAGCCUUGGGGCUAAUACCCUCGAGGAAGGACAUCACCCACAGAAGAAGCACCGGCUAACUCCGUGCCAGCAGCCGCGGUAAUACGGAGGGUGCGAGCGUUAAUCGGAAUUACUGGGCGUAAAGCGCGCGUAGGCGGUCUGAUAAGCCGGUUGUGAAAGCCCCGGGCUCAACCUGGGAACGGCAUCCGGAACUGUCAGGCUAGAGUGCAGGAGAGGUAGGUAGAAUUCCCGGUGUAGCGGUGAAAUGCGUAGAGAUCGGGAGGAAUACCAGUGGCGAAGGCGGUCUUCUGGACUGACACUGACGCUGAGGUGCGAAAGCGUGGGUAGCAAACAGGAUUAGAUACCCUAGUAGUC
rnacentral:rRNA from 1 species